AUGAGAAGGCAUCACAGAGAGAGAGGCAGAUGCUGCCGAUGGCUAGGUUUCGUAUUUGGGGAAAGGGGGCUAGUCUCAAGUCCAGCACUCACUAACAGUGGCAUGGGGUGGAACUCUUGGAAAUGGGACAUGAGUGACCCCCAUUGGCUUGUAUACAUCACAGAGAGAAUGAGAAGGCAUCACAGAGAGAGGAGCAGAAGAAGACCUAGAGAGGUACUGUCGAAAAGACACCCACAUCAGUACCUGCAUUGCAAUGGCAGAACGUCUGAUUGGAAAAGACUAAGCUCUACUUUUUCCUUCUUGUUGUUAAUGUACGAGACCCAGGGGCUUCCUGAUGACUUGGCAACUCGGUGCAGCGAUUUCGCGCACCAUUUUGCAGGCAAAGUUGCUCAGAUACGCCGUGAGUUGGACUCCAGCUUAACUGUAGUUCCAGUGGAGGUAACCGAGGUACCUGUCUGUUCGAUCUUAUGGGAUUCUUUCCGGCUUGUCCUUCCUGAUGACGUGGAGCGGAUUCUUGGGUCUGUGAGGGCGACCACUUGCGCUCUGGAUCCUUGUCCUUCUUGGAUGGUUAAGCUGGCCAAAGAUGGGUUGUUGGAUUGGUUUGUGGCUAUUAUAAAUGCCUCCUUGGGUCAGGGGUCAGUUCCAUCCUGCUUUAAGCAGGCAGUAGUAAAACCAUUACUAAAAAAGACCUCUUUAGACCCAUCUGUAUGUAGCAACUACAGACCAAUUUCCAACCUCCCAUUUUUGGGCAAGGUUCUGGAGCGGGUGGUUGCCACGCAGCUCCAGGAGUUCCUCGAUGACACUGAUUUUCUGGACCGCUCGCAGUCUGGCUUCAGGCCUGGGCACAGUACCGAGACGGCUUUGGUCGCCUUGGUGGAUGACCUCCGCAGGGAACUGGACAGGGGGAGUGUGACCCUGCUGGUUCUCUUGGACAUCUCAGCGGCUUUCGAUACCAUUGACCAUGGCAUCCUUCUGGGGAGGCUCUCUGGGAUGGGGCUCAGUGGCACGGUUCUGCUGUGGCUCCAGUCCUUCCUGGAGGGCCGUUCCCAGAUGGUGAAGCUGGGGGACACCUGCUCGGACCCCUGGCCUUUGACCUGUGGGCUCCCGCAAGGGUCUAUUCUAUCCCCAUGCUAUUUAACAUCUACAUGA
rnacentral:lncRNA from 1 species